rnacentral:rRNA from 1 species
UACGUAGGGGCCUAGCGUUGUCCGGAAUUAUUGGGCGUAAAGAGCUCGUAGGCGGUUCGGCAAGUCGGAUGUGAAAUCUCCACGCUUAACGUGGAGGGGCCAUUCGAAACUGCUGUGACUCGAGUCCGGUAGGGGAGUGUGGAAUUCCCGGUGUAGCGGUGAAAUGCGCAGAUAUCAGGAGGAACACCGAUGGCGAAGGCAGGUCACUGGGCCGCAACUGACGCUGAGGAGCGAAAGCAUGGGGAGCGAACAGG